AUUGAACGCUGGCGGCAUGCCUUACACAUGCAAGUCGAACGGUAACGGGCCUUCGGGUGCCGACGAGUGGCGAACGGGUGAGUAAAGUAUCGGAACGUACCUUUCAGUGGGGGAUAACGUAGCGAAAGUUACGCUAAUACCGCAUAUUCUGUGAGCAGGAAAGCAGGGGAUCGCAAGACCUUGCGCUGAUUGAGAGGCCGAUAUCAGAUUAGCUAGUUGGUGAGGUAAAGGCUCACCAAGGCGACGAUCUGUAGGGGGUAGGGGAGGAUGAUCCGCCACACUGGGACGUAGAGCCGGUCCAGACUCCUACGGCAGUCAGCAGUGGGGAAUUUUGGACAAUGGGGGCAACCCUGAUCCAUCCAUGCCGCGUGAGUGAAGAAGGCCUUCGGGUUGUAAAGCUCUUUCGGCCGGGAAGAAAUCGUAUCAGCUAAUACCUGGUGCGGAUGACGGUACCGGCAUAAGAAGCACCGGCUAACUACGUGCCAGCAGCCGCCGUAAGAC
rnacentral:rRNA from 1 species